rnacentral:rRNA from 1 species
GACGAACGCUGGCGGCGUGCUUAACACAUGCAAGUCGAACGGAAAGGCCCUGCUUUUGUGGGGUGCUCGAGUGGCGAACGGGUGAGUAACACGUGAGUAACCUGCCCUUGACUUUGGGAUAACUUCAGGAAACUGGGGCUAAUACCGGAUAGGAGCUCCUGCUGCAUGGUGGGGGUUUGAAAGUUUCGGCUGUUGGGGAUGGACUCGCGGCUUAUCAGCUUGUUGGUGGGGUAGUGGCUUACCAAGGCCUUGACGGGUAGCCGGCCUGAGAGGGUGACCGGCCACAUUGGGACUGAGAUACGGCCCAGACUCGUACGGGAGGCAGCAGUGGGGAAUAUUGCACAAUGGGCGGAAGCCUGAUGCAGCAACGCCGCGUGCGGGAUGACGGCCUUCGGGUUGUAAACCGCUUUCGCCUGUGACGAAGCGAGAGUGACGGUAAUGGGUAAAGAAGCACCGGCUAACUACGUG